AGCGAACGUUUGCGGCGGGCCCAACACAUGCAAGUCGAACGCACUAGCAAUAGUGAGUGGCGCACGGGUGCGUAACACGUGGGUAAUCAACCCUUCAGCCUGGGAUAACGACUCGAAAGGGUCGCUAAUACCGGAUACGGCGCGAGAGGCUUCGGCUUCUCACGAGAAAGCCACGCAAGGGGCACUGAAGGACGAGCCUGCGGCCCAUCAGCUAGUUGGUGAGGUAAGAGCUCACCAAGGCUAAGACGGGUAGCUGGUCUGAGAGGAUGAUCAGCCACACUGGAACUGAGACACGGUCCAGACUCCUACGGGGGGCAGCAGUGGGGAAUAUUGCGCAAUGGGCGAAAGCCUGACGCAGCCACGCCGCGUGAGCGAUGAAGGCC
rnacentral:rRNA from 1 species